CAGCCGCCGCGGUAAGACAGAGGAUGCAAGCGUUAUCCGGAAUGAUUGGGCGUAAAGUGUCUGUAGGUGGCUUUUCAAGUCCGCCGUCAAAUCCCAGGGCUCAACCCUGGACAGGUGGUGGAAACUACCAAGCUGGAGUAUGGUAGGGGCAGAGGGAAUUUCCGGUGGAGCGGUGAAAUGCAUUGAGAUCGGAAAGAACACCAACGGCGAAAGCACUCUACUGGGCCGACAUUGACACUGAGAGACGAAAGGUAGGGGAGCAAAUGGGAUUAGAUACCCCAGUAGUCCCUGUCUCUUAUAC
rnacentral:rRNA from 1 species